GAUGAACGCUGGCGGCGUGCCUAAUACAUGCAAGUCGAGCGAACGGACGAGAAGCUUGCUUCUCUGAUGUUAGCGGCGGACGGGGGAGUAAAACGUGGAUAACCUACCUAUAAGACUGGGAUAACUUCGGGAAACCGGAGCUAAUACCGGAUGAUAUUUUGAACCGCAUGGUUCAAAAGUGAAAGACGGUCUUGCUGUCACUUAUAGAUGGAUCCGCGCUGCAUUAGCUAGUUGGUAAGGUAACGGCUUACCAAGGCAACGAUGCAUAGCCGACCUGAGAGGGUGAUCGGCCACACUGGAACUGAGACACGGUCCAGACUCCUACGGGAGGCAGCAGUAGGGAAUCUUCCGCAAUGGGCGAAAGCCUGACGGAGCAACGCCGCGUGAGUGAUGAAGGUCUUCGGAUCGUAAAACUCUGUUAUUAGGGAAGAACAUAUGUGUAAGUAACUGUGCACAUCUUGGCGGUACCUAAUCAGAAAGCCACGGCUAACUACGUG
rnacentral:rRNA from 1 species